UGACGGGCCCCGCACAAGCAGCGGAGCGUGUGGUUUAAUUCGAUGCUACACGAAGAACCUUACCAGGGUUUGACAUACAAGUAGUAGGGAAAGGAAACUGGACCGACCCUUCGGGGAGCUUGUACAGGUGCUGCAUGGCUGUCGUCAGCUCGUGUCGUGAGAUGUUGGGUUAAGUCCCGCAACGAGCGCAACCCUUGUCCUUAGUUACCAGCGGGUUAAGCCGGGAACUCUAAGGAUACUGCCAGUGACAAACUGGAGGAAGGCGGGACGACGUCAAGUCAUCAUGGCCCUUACGACCAGGGCUACACACGUGCUACAAUGGUAGGUACAGAGGGCAGCUACACAGCGAUGUGAUGCGAAUCUCAAAAAGCCUAUCGUAGUCCAGAUUGGAGUCUGCAACUCGACUCCAUGAAGUAGGAAUCGCUAGUAAUCGCGGAUCGGAAUGCCCGCGGUCGAAUACGUUCCGGGCCUU
rnacentral:rRNA from 1 species